UGGUGGAGUGAUCUGUCUGGUUAAUUCCGAUAACGAACGAGACCUUAACCUGCUAAAUAGUAUUGCAAAUGUUUAUUUGUAAGGACUUCUUAGAGGGACUAACCUUGUUUAAGGGUUGGAAGUUUGAGGCAAUAACA
rnacentral:rRNA from 1 species